rnacentral:rRNA from 1 species
CCUACGGGUUGCAGCAGUAGGGAAUCUUCGGCAAUGGACGAAAGUCUGACCGAGCAACGCCGCGUGAGUGAAGAAGGUUUUCGGAUCGUAAAACUCUGUUGUUAGAGAAGAACAAGUAGGAGAGUAACUGCUCUUACCUUGACGGAAUCUAACCAGAAAGCCACGGCUAACUACGUGCCAGCAGCCGCGGUAAUACGUAGGUGGCAAGCGUUGUCCGGGUUUAUUGGGCGUAAAGCGAGCGCAGGCGGUCUUUUAAGUCUGAUGUGAAAGCCCUCGGCUCAACCGAGGAAGGUCAUUGGAAACUGGAGGACUUGAGUGCAGAAGAGGAGAGUGGAAUUCCAUGUGUAGCGGUGAAAUGCGUAGAUAUAUGGAGGAACACCAGUGGCGAAGGCGACUCUCUGGUCUGUAACUGACGCUGAGGCUCGAAAGCGUGGGGAGCAAGCAGGAUUAGAUACC